UCAGGCCUAACACAUGCAAGUCGAGCGGCAGCGGGAAAGUAGCUUGCUACUUUUGCCGGCGAGCGGCGGACGGGUGAGUAAUGCCUGGGAAAUUGCCCAGUCGAGGGGGAUAACAGUUGGAAACGACUGCUAAUACCGCAUACGCCCUACGGGGGAAAGCAGGGGACCUUCGGGCCUUGCGCGAUUGGAUAUGCCCAGGUGGGAUUAGCUAGUUGGUGAGGUAAUGGCUCACCAAGGCGACGAUCCCUAGCUGGUCUGAGAGGAUGAUCAGCCACACUGGAACUGAGACACGGUCCAGACUCCUACGGGAGGCAGCAGUGGGGAAUAUUGCACAAUGGGGGAAACCCUGAUGCAGCCAAGCCGCGUGUGUGAAGAAGGCCUUCGGGUUGAAAGCUCAUGAGCGAGGAGGAAAGGUCAGUAGCUAAUAUCUG
rnacentral:rRNA from 1 species